rnacentral:rRNA from 1 species
AACCUCCGCAAUGUGAGAAAUCGCGACGGGGGGAUCCCAAGUGCCAUUCUUAACGGGAUGGCUUUUCAUUAGUGUAAAGAGCUUUUGGAAUAAGGGCUGGGCAAGACCGGUGCCAGCCGCCGCGGUAACACCGGCAGCUCUAGUGGUAGCAGUUUUUAUUGGGCCUAAAGCGUCCGUAGCCGGUUUAAUAAGUCUCUGGUGAAAUCCUGUAGCUUAACUGUGGGAAUUGCUGGAGAUACUAUUAGACUUGAGACCGGGAGAGGUUAGAGGUACUCCCAGGGUAGAGGUGAAAUUCUGUAAUCCUGGGAGGACCGCCUGUUGCGAAGGCGUCUAACUGGAACGGUUCUGACGGUGAGGGACGAAAGUUAGGGGCGCGAACCGGAUUAGAUACCCGGGUAGUCCUAGCCGUAAACGAUGCGGACUUGGUGUUGGGGUGGCUUUGAGCUGUUUCGGUGCCGGAGGGAAGCUGUUAAGUCCGCCGCCUGGGAAGUACGGUCGCAAGACUGAAACUUAAAGGAAUU